ACCAGGCGCGAAAACUUUGCACACUCGAAAGUGUGACAGGGCUAUCCCGAGUGCCAUCCGCUGAGGAAGGCUUUUACCCAGUCUAGAACGCUGGGGGAAUAAGGAGAGGGCAAGUCUGGUGUCAGCCGCCGCGGUAAUACCAGCUCUCCGAGUGGUGUGGAUGUUUAUUGGGCCUAAAGCAUCCGUAGCUGGCUAAGUUAGUCCCUUGUUAAAUCCACCGAAUUAAUCGUUGGAUUGCGGGGGAUACUGCUUGGCUAGGGGACGAGAGAGGCAGACGGUAUUUCCGGGGUAGGGGUGAAAUCCUAUAAUCCCGGGAAGACCACCAGUGGCGAAGGCUGUCUGCUAGAACGCGCCCGACGGUGAGGGAUGAAAGCUGGGGGAGCGAACCGGAUUAGAUACCCGGGUAGUCCCAGCUGUAAACGAUGCAGGCUAGGUGUUUGGACGGCCAUGUGCCGUUCUAGUGCCGCAGGGAAGCUGUUAAGCCUGCCGCCUGGGGAGUACGAUCGCAAGAUUGAAACUUAAAGGAAUUGGCGGGGGAGCAC
rnacentral:rRNA from 1 species